rnacentral:rRNA from 1 species
GCCUUUGAUACUGGUUGACUUGAGUCAUAUGGAAGUAGAUAGAAUGUGUAGUGUAGCGGUGAAAUGCAUAGAUAUUACACAGAAUACCGAUUGCGAAGGCAGUCUACUACGUAUGUACUGACGCUCAUGGACGAAAGCGUGGGGAGCGAACAGGAUUAGAUACCCUGGUAGUCCACGCCGUAAACGAUGGACACUAGUUGUUGGGCAUUAGCUCAGUGACUAAGCGAAAGUGAUAAGUGUCCCACCUGGGGAGUACGAUCGCAAGAUUGAAACUCAAAGGAAUUGACGGGGGCCCGCACAAGCGGUGGAGCAUGUGGUUUAAUUCGAUGAUACGCGAGGAACCUUACCAGGGCUUAAAUGUAGUAUGACAGGUUUAGAGAUAGACUUUUCUUCGGACAUAUUACAAGGUGCUGCAUGGUUGUCGUCAGCUCGUGCCGUGAGGUGUCAGGUUAAGUCCUAUAACGAGCGCAACCCUUGUCGUUAGUUGCCAGCAUGUAAAGAUGGGGACUCUAACGAGACUGCCGGUGCAAACCGAGAGGAAGGUGGGGAUGACGUCAAAUCAUCACGGCCCUUACGUCCUGGGCCACACACGUGCUACAAUGGUAUGGACAAUGAGCAGCCAUCUGGCAACAGAGAGCAAAUCUAUAAACCAUAUCACAGUUCGGAUCGGAGUCUGCAACUCGACUCCCUGAAGCUGGAAUCGCUAGUAAUCGGAUAUCAGCCAUGAUCCGGUGAAUACGUUCCCGGGCCUUGUACACACCGCCCGUCAAGCCAUGGAAGC